GAGCACGUAGGUGGGUUUGUAAGUCAGACGUGAAAGCCUUCUGUUCAACGGAAGAAUUGCAUCUGAAACUACAAACCUUGAGUGUAGGAGGGGAGAAUGGAACUUCUGGUGGAGCGGUGAAAUGCGUAGAUAUCAGAAGGAACGCCGGCGGCGAAAGCGAUUCUCUGGCCUAUUACUGACACUCAGUGUGCGAAAGCUAGGGGAGCAAACGGGAUUAGAUACCCCGGUAGUCCUGGCCCUAAACGGUGGGCACUAAGUAGAGGGA
rnacentral:rRNA from 1 species